AUGAUAGCACUCCAAAUAGGCACCAAGUGUGGCACACUAAGUAAAACACCGUUUCAGCUUCAAAAAAUCCCACGCCUAAAAUCAAACACUAACACCAAUUUUUGUUUUCAUAGUCAAACAAGUGCCCAACAUCAUGACAAUACUUUUUUCUACAGGCACCACGAGGAGACAAGAUUGAGGAAGAACUCUCCAAUUUCCCCACAAAUGCAAAUUCCCAAACGAGCAUCUACAUCAAUUCAAACACCUAAUGAAUCAACCGAGGAAAGUCCUUUAAGAUAA